rnacentral:snRNA from 1 species
GGAUGUGAGGAUGAUCUGGCUGUGACAUCUGUCACCCCAUUGAUCGCCAGGGUUGAUUCUCUGAUCUAGCUGGCUAGGCUGGUGUCCCCUUUCUCUCCUUGCCUCUCUCCUGAAGCUGCAUGCUGGGGAAGGCCUUUCCUGCAUAGAGACCAACCAGUCUUCAAUGGAGGGUUUAUGAGUAGCUGAGCUCCCCUGCUAGAACCUCCAAACAAGCUCCCAAGAAAUGUAGAACAAUGAAAAGGAAGUUACCAUUUGAUAUUAAAAGCAUUUUUCUUUUAAUUCUGACACCGAUUUGUUGUUGACUGUUGUU